GAUGAACGCUAGCGGCAGGCCUAACACAUGCAAGUCGAGGGGCAGCAUUUCCAGCUUGCUGGAAGAUGGCGACCGGCGCACGGGUGCGCAACGCGUAUAGAAUCUGCCCCGUACCGGGGA
rnacentral:rRNA from 1 species